GUUUCUUUGGAGAACACUGACCAGUGUGGAUGCUGUGCACUUGUGGAGAUGGAAGGGCCUCUGUGGGGAGAGAGGACACAGAAAGUGGAGGUGGCGGCUGACCUGGAUCCACACCCAGAGCCUCGCAUGGUCCGUCUCGGCUGCAAGUUCCUGCACAUCCUGGGCUCAGGGCCCGCAUCAUCCAGGUUCAGGAAGCUUUGGGGGGCUUCUCUUGUGAGCUCUGGGGGCGCUGAGGCUGAAGAAUGUCUUACGCUCAUGAGAAGCAGCAUAGGAACAGAUGUUUAUGUUAAAGAAUACAGAUAAGCUUGUGAGCUCCACAAGGAAAUCCUGUACGUGACCCUCAGAUAGGGGCUGGUGAAGAAAAUGAUCCUGGGCGGCUGCCCGGCUCAGAGACGGCCUCGGACAUGGCUGUUGUGUCAAGAGGGUCUUUUCCUCUGAGCAGCCUCUGCCCACCUGUGGCCUGACCGGCCUCUGGGCGUCCCCAGGAACACCUGAGACAUUCAGACGUGGCCUGUGCCUCCCUGAGACCACUGAGGUCAGGGAGGAGGCACGGAGCCUCCAGGCAGUGGUGGAGAAGCGUGACUGCAGCAGCCGGCACACGAGGUUCCUGGAUGUCGGUUUGUUGCAAAUGUUUCCCCAGAGAGACUGAGCGAGGCCUGGGCCCAGGACAGGAUGAGUCACCCGCUUCCAUGGCAGGCCUCCGAUGCUCCUAGCAGGGGGUCACCGCGCAGGGAGCGCCCGUUCUCCCCAGGCAGCAUCGAAAGGACCAACGCUGAGAAUUCUGUGACCCGCAAAUUGUGGAUCCACGCGAGGCGGGACAGGAGCCCCACCAUCUGCAGAGCAACGUCGUCUGUCAACACAGCCGUGCAGCCUCGGGCCGGAACAGAGAGGGCUGGGGGCGGAAAACAAAGACAAAGUACAUCUACUCGAGUCCUCUCUUCCUUAGUUUCAACUUUCACAGCUCCCACUGGUUUCCCUUUUAACCAGAACCAUUUUAAUAUUCAUCCACAUAAACAUUCCCACUGCAGACUCAGGCUGGCAGCCCCAUGGCGGCUCCAGGCGCUAAAAUGCCAAGAAGACGGCGAGUCUCGGUGGAGCACCUCCUUCCAAAGGGACCUGACGCACAUGCAAAAGCUGCGCUCGGACGAGGCGGCUGAAUGCUCCAGCCCUCGAGUCCAUAAAGCCUCGAAAUUGCUAAGAGCUUGCAAAGCGGGUGGUGCCGGGUCCUCUCUGGGUGGGCCAGGCCAGGCCACCUCCAUAUUCCUCUUCUCCAGUUUCCACCCCUCGGGUCUACGGUGCCCAGGAAAUGGCACGGACGUUCUCGCUUCUGGUCCCUGUGGAAUGGGGCUUCUCCCCCACUGCUGCAGAGGCUGUUAUUGUCCCAGC
rnacentral:lncRNA from 1 species